rnacentral:SRP_RNA from 1 species
ACUGGGCAGGUGGCGCAAGCCUGUAAUCCAGCUACUCCAGAGGCUGAGGCUGGCACAUUGCUUGAACUCAGGAGUUCUGGACUGCAGUGGGCUAUGCCAAUUGGGUGUCCGCACUAAGUUCGGUAUCAAUAUGGUGAUCCCCAGGGAGCCAAGGGCCACCAGGUUGCCUAAGGAGGGGUGAACCAGCCCAGGCUGGAGACGGAGCAGAUCAAAACUCCCGUGCGAUCAGUCUGAAGUUGAAUCCAAGGAGGAUAGAGUUGGUGCUUGUCUCUGACAGUUGUGUUGUUGUUUCUU